GUCUGUGUGUAUGUAUAUAAAUUUUAUAUAUGUAUAUCUAUGUAAAAUGUUUAUAUAUUUUUUAUAUAUAUAAAUACAUGUUAAUCAUCUGGAUCUUUAAGGUAUGCAGCAGGAUGAAAAGAUUGCUGUCUCCACUUAUUUCUAGCAUCACUAGAAGCAAAAGCAAAGCAUACACUGGCUUACCUGACCAAUCAGUGAAUUGUUUUCUUCUGUCAUUUCCUGUUUAAUUCAUGCUUUUGAUAGCUAUUCUUUGUCUUCAGAGAAAUCUUUCCUGUGUUCUAGGGGUCUCCUUCAAAGCAGCACACAGACAAUUGGGACAUUUUGGUAUUUAGGGCAUGUCCCCAGCUUUCAUGUGCUCUUCCUUACCUUUCAUGUUUGUUUUUUCCCAUUGUCAGAACCUGCAGUGCCUCCUCUUCGGUAUCCCUGGCAGCAGCUGGGAGUGCAUUCCCUUCAGAGAACUUGGACCAUCUUUCCAGUGUUACACCAACAAGAUUACAGUUGACAAAAUCUACAAUUUUACAUUUUG
ensembl:lncRNA